UAAAUGAAACAAACUUUUAAGAGUUUAAAAUUUGUAUUUUUUCUCGUGAUAACAUUUCUCGUAGAUGCGUCGCCACCUUUUCAUCAGAUCCAUUAGAGAAUGUAGUCAAUAAUUCGACUACCUGUGAUCAAAAGAAUCUUUCGAUCAUAAAUUUUAUAAUAAUCAUACAAACAAUUCCAAUAGACAAGUGUACAAGAAAGAUACAAAAUGUUUUUUCCUGCCCUUGAGAAUGGAAAAUCCGGAAGGAAGAAGAAUCAAUGCUCCAGAUCUUUUGCAUAAGAACGCAUCUCUAAUAGCCUUAACAAAUUCAUUUCACCCUUAAUUGUAAGUAUUUCAAGUAGGUUCGUUCCAUAACUAAUUUACAACUGCUAUAAAUAGAUAAGCAAGAUUGGAUUAUAUUCACUUAUAAAAAAUUGAGUAUUGACCUUAAAAAAAUGUGGUUUAACCUAUACACAACUUGUCUCCUGUUGAUGUUUGCUAUAAUACCAUAUAUUCCACCAGGAUAUGACAACAGUCAACUUCACCGGCCAUUUGAUAAGAGAAAAUAAACUAUGUAUAUUUUCUGCAAGUGCAUGAUAAAGCAAGUAAUGGAAAUAAACAAUCACUUUAUCAAGACAUAACUAAAGCCUCAGGAAAUUCAUAUAUUCUUUCCUUGCUUUCCAUUCAUGGUAUUUGGUAUCAAUGUGGAUUCCAUUAUCAUGCACAGUAUUUUAAAACCUCCUCUAGAAUGGACCUCAUGGGCUUUCACCAUUUUGAAUCACAAAUUCUGCAAGUGCAGAAUAACAAAAUAAUAAGAAAUAAAUAAAAACAAUUUAAAAACAUA